UGAUUCAGGGAGGUAGUAACAAGAAAUAACAACCUAUGUACUUUUGUACUGUGGAUUGUAAUGAGUUCUAACCUAAAAAACUAAACGAGGAACAAUUGGAGGGCAAGUCUGGUGCCAGCAGCCGCGGUAAUUCCAGCUCCAAUAGCGUAUAUUAAAGUUGUUGCAGUUAAAAAGCUCGUAGUUGAAUUUCUAGGCAUCAUUAAAUUUAACAAUCGUUUGUUUAUUGGUGUUUAUCCGACAUUGAACUUAAAUUGGUAUUUGGUUAUCAUUUAAGCGAACUGUCAUUUUACUUUGAAAAAAUUAGAGUGUUUCAGGCAGGCAUUUGCCCGAAUAUCUUAGCAUGGAAUAAUGGAAUAGGACUUUGGUUCAUUUUAUUGGUUAUUGAAUCAGAGUAAUGAUUAAUAGGGACAGUUGGGGGCAUUAGUAUUUAAUUGUCAGAGGUGAAAUUCUUGGAUUUAUUAAAGACUAACUUAUGCGAAAGCAUUUGCCAAGGAUGUUUUCAUUAAUCAAGAACGAAAGUUAGGGGAUCAAAGACGAUCAGAUACCGUCCUAGUCUUAACUAUAAACUAUACCGACUCAGGAUUGGCCAUGUCUCAACUUGGUCAGCACUGUAUGAGAAAUUAAAGUCUUUGGGUUCUGGGGGGAGUAUGGUCGCAAGGCUGAAACUUAAAGGAAUUGACGGAAGGGCACCACCAGGAGUGGAGCCUG
rnacentral:rRNA from 1 species